rfam:Clostridium sticklandii str. DSM 519 chromosome, complete genome.
GGGGAUGUAAUGGUUUCGACGGGGUCUUGAAGGUACGGGUAGCGAGUCGUGUAACUCCUCUUUAUCACGUAAAACUAUGGGGAACUUAAAUUAAACGCAAACGAAAAUUACGCUUUAGCGGCUUAGUUGCUGCUCGUUUUCACCGAGAUUCCUACGACUUGGAUGAAAACGUCAGAUAGUAGGGCACUGCUUUGUGGAUAUCUGGACAUAAAGUAGAAUAAUUCAGAUGUAGCUGAUAGGGAGCUUAGUUGUUGGGGCGCCCAGUAAGCGAAAUUCAAAUUCAGCAACUACACUCGUAGAAGCUUUUAUUGAAUGGAUUUCGGACAGGAGUUCGAUUCUCCUCAUCUCCACCA